rnacentral:rRNA from 1 species
UAGGGAAUCUUCGGCAAUGGACGAAAGUCUGACCGAGCAACGCCGCGUGAGUGAAGAAGGUAUUCGGAUCGUAAAACUCUGUUGUUAGAGAAGAACAAGGACGUUAGUAACUGAACGUCCCCUGACGGUAUCUAACCAGAAAGUCACGGCUAACUACGUGCCAGCAGCCGCCGUAAUACGUAGGUGGCAAGCGUUGUCCGGAUUUAUUGGGUGUAAAGCGAGCGCGGGCGGUUUCUUAAGUCUGAUGUGAAAGCCCCCGGCUCAACCGGGGAGGGUCAUUGGAAACAGGGAGACUUGAGUGCAGAGGAGGAGGGGUGAAUUCCGUGUGUAGGGGUGAAAUGCGUAGAUAUAGGAAGGAACACCAGUGGCGAAGGCGGCUCGCUAGUCUGUAACUGACACUGAGGCUAGAAAGGGUGGGGAGCAAACAGG